GACGAACGCUGGCGGCGUGCUUAACACAUGCAAGUCGAGCGGAAAGGCCCUUUUGGGGGUACUCGAGCGGCGAACGGGUGAGUAACACGUGAGUAAUCUGCCCUUCACUUUGGGAUAGCCACCGGAAACGGUGAUUAAUACCGGAUACGACCACUCCCGGCAUGGGGUGGUGGUGGAAACGCUUUGGGUGGGGGAUGUGCUCGCGGCCUAUCAGCUUGGUGGUGGGGUAAUGGCCUACCAAGGCUUUGACGGGUAGCCGGCCUGAGAGGGUGACCGGCCACACUGGGACUGAGACACGGCCCAGACUCCCACGGGAGGCAGCAGUGGGGAAUAUUGGACAAUGGGCGGAAGCCUGAUCCAGCAACGCCGCGUGAGGGAUGACGGCCUUCGGGUUGUAAACCUCUUUCAGCACCGACGAAGCGCAAGUGACGGUAGGUGCAGAAGAAGGACCGGCCAACUACGUGCCAGCCGCCGCGGUAACAC
rnacentral:rRNA from 1 species